CGACAACUGUUCCUCCUGCUGCUUUAAGCCACUAGCAUGCUGGGAUUUUAGGUUGUCGUAGAGGAAACGUGGUCUACUUCACCCAGUGUACAGAAGGUAGCAGGGCUGCCCCUCUGAACUCUGGUUUUUGCGGCACCUGACACAA
ensembl:snoRNA small nucleolar RNA SNORA79